CAUACAUCAUGGAUACAUCUCUUAUCUUGUGUGAGCCAUCUUCCAUCAUAAAUAAGAGAGCUAGUUUACCACAUAGAAGGACAUGACACCAAUCUUGAAAUCAUCAUCUAAAAGGAAUGGAUAGUGUGAGCAGUUAUUGAUAUUUAGUCACGUCACUCAGUGUACAGCAUGUCUACAUCCCCUAUCUUGUGUGAAUCAUCUUUCAGCAUAAAUGAGAGAGCUAGUCUACCACAGACAAGGACAUGACUCCUAUCUUGAUAUCAUCAUCUAUGCGAAAUGUCUGGAUGAGUAUUGGUAUUUUGUCAUAGUUUCAAAAGCAAAUGGUCAGAUCUGUACAUUCCUUUAUAUUCUUUGGAGUUUGUAUACAAAAAUACAAUUAUGCAUAUUGACUAGGUAUGCUUGUUUUCACAUAAAUAUAAGAUCAAAUUUUACAGCCGGCACUUUUUUUUUCAUUUUUCUAUAGGGAACUCUUAUUUAUUGAAUUAUAAGUGGGGAAUAUCGCAAAAGACGGCAACAAUUUCUAAGGACACAGAGAGAGGCAUUUAGUCCAGUAAAUGGGCAUCUACAAUUUAUGUAUUGUCCAACAAAUUGAAUGAACCAAAUAUCAUUUAAAAUAUAUCCAAAACAUGUUUUAUUUUUGAAUACCCGACUCUACCCUCACUUGCCAUAUGUAUUUUUCCAUUUAAGCCAUUUUGAUGUGUGAAAAAGUGGGCAGGUUCUACCUCCCUCUUAUACCAAAAUUUUGGCCACAUUUGAAUAAUUCAGAACAUGCUCCAACACACAAAAAAGUCAUUUUACCAAAAAUCAGUGAUUCAUGUAAAUAGGACAAUAUACAUGGCCAGUGAGGGUAUAUGCAUUCGCUACUCAUGAACCCAUUUUCAUAUGUUUUAUAAUAAGUUUUGUGUAGAUCCUAGGGGCAGGUCCAAGCUAUUAUCUGUAUCUAAAUUAUUUGUUCUUUCAUUAAUGGAUGCAUACAAUGUAGGGCAUAUUUACUAUAAAAAAAUAAUUUGUACAUAAUGUUGGAAAUGUUUUGCAAGUAUUGUGAGGCUUAGAUGUAUUUGUGGAGAAUUUUUGUGUUAACUAGUCUGCAAAAGUGGAUCCAAAGGUUUUCCAGAGUUUUUGCCUUUUGUGUUUUAUCUCUGGUUUUUUACCCUGGAUCUACUUGUCGUAGAAUUUUUUAACACAAACAUUUCUCCCUCCCAACUUCUGUGCACAAUACCUUUAUACAUACUUAUUUUUCCAUGAGUAUUGUUAAUAUGUUCUGUCCAAUUUAGUAAAUUGUUACUCAAAGAAAGGUGAUAGAUCAAAUGCACAGAGUAUAAUAUGUGUGGCGCUAUUAAUCUCUAACCCUAAAAAGACUUAAAAAACAAAACAAAUCUUGCGCAACAUUUGAGACCAAAUUUACGACCAUUGGGUUUGCAGUUCCAAAAUUAUGAAACUUGUAAUUGCAUGUCAGACAUCAAAUUGCUUAAAAAAACUUUAUUUCAUGUACUUUACAAAUCCAAUGCAAAUUCAAUUUCUAGCCAAAAUUCAUAACUUUGUCAUUAAUUUUACUCUCGCAUUAUUAAAAAAAACAAAAACAAAGAAAAACAUAAGAAAUUGCAAAAAAAAAAAAUACAUAUUAGAGCAUUUUGAUAACGAUUAUUCUUUGUUGUGUGUUUGAUCUGAAUCCAACAACGAGCCUCCAAACCAAAACAAAUCAGUACUUUAAGAGCUUUUUUUUAUAGAUUCAAGCCAAAAUUAUGAUUUUAUGCAUUAAUUAGCAUUAUUAAUUGAUUAAGAAUUAAACUUAAAUGAUUUUGGAACAAUCAUACAUACAAUUUUGUAGACUAUAUCAUGGUUGACAUGCAUAUUGAUUUUCAUCAUGGUUGCACAAUCAGCGGCCAAGAUCUUUGGGGCCCUUUAGCUCCCCAUCAUUCCAGCCUAAAAAAUACCCUAGUCAUAUUACGGUCAAUCUAUUCAUUAAGGCAUAUUUUUCAGUUCAAUUUUGAAUAAAUUUUGCUUAUAGAAAUUAAAGAUACAAAGGAAAAUAACUUUUUACUCAAAAUUAUGUUUGACAGAUAUUGGAGAAAGUUGACUCUUUUAACACCAAAAAUCCUGUUUUCAUUCUUUUCAAGGGGUUGGCAUCGCUGACAAUGACUUUCUUAGAUAUGGUUGUUAUUAGGUCAUAGGUCACAGAGAUCAAUUUGUACCCCAAAAUUUCUUGUUCUUGUGAGAAGCAAAGAAUUGGUUCAUUGUAUACCUGAAAAUAUCAUUUGCCCUGCGACAACUUCAAGUUUGAUUUAGAGAUUGAUUUUAAACUUUGCUCAUGAAUGCAUAUGUGAGUUGAGGAUCUCAUUACAUAAUUUUUGGUCACAAUGGCAAAGGUCAAGAAGUUAUUAAAAAUUUUAUGUGUGUUAUUGUUGGUUUGGCAAUGAUGGAUGUAUUAACUUCGACUGCAUGCAGUUAAGAAAUUAUUUAGUUUCUCUUCAUUUUUCAUGGUCCUGAUAUUUUCUUUUUAUUAGAGAACAAAAAUCCCACUGUAUAGUGUUUGAAAGCGUUUAUUAAUUACUUAAUUGAUUACUUUAGAUUUUUGAAAUGUUUAUGAAACUAGCAAAACAAUUCCGAGAAGUGUUUCACAAGUGAAUAUAUACAAUUUAAAAAGUCAUGCCUAAGUGUUCGUUUGCACGCAAUAUUGUAUGCGCAGUCUUAUUGAUUCAUGUGCACCAGCAUGACUCCUCUGAGCGUGAUCCAACCAGUAUUGUGACCCAUUAUUUUCCACAUGCAAGUGUAAAUUCAAAAGUGAAUUGAAUCACACUCACACUUAAAUCUUUGUGAAACACCUCUUUAGUUUAUGUCACGUGUCAGAUAGCUUGGACCUGCCCUGUAAUUUACUAUUGUCUCUAUUAUAAUUAUACUUGAUUUGUAUUCAUCAUUUUUUUUUUCUUGAAUAAAAUGUAAGACCAGCAGCCGAGAAGAUUCAUUCAAGUUGGAGGACCAUGGCAGUUGACCUCAUUUAUUGCUGGGGUAGGCCCUAGACCUCACAAGCAUGGCUUGCUGUCUGGUUUGAGCUGGGAUCUUCCUGCCAGAAUCACACAAUGAGUGAUGUCACUACCAACAGAUCUGAUUUUCAGUGUGCAGAGAAGGGCAUUGGACACUGCUGUGCAUGGCAUACAGCUUCCACAAUGUAAGUGCUUUAUUGAUGAAUUCAAUGAUAUCUUGCGUAGCCUAGAGUAUGUGAGACAAUGCAAACGGUUUUCCAGCAAUUUUUAUGGUAUGCUAAUGGCAAUAACUAUUACGGAAGUAUUGGGAAGAAAUGUCUAAAUUGCACUCUUUAAAUUCAUGACAUUUUCUUUACUCUUUGGAAUUAAAUUCUUUUCAUGAAAAUCCAUCAAAACAAUACCAUUACUCCACCCUCCUCCCCUCAUGUUUUACUUUCCUCAUUGGUUUUACCUCUAAAAUACUAGCAUUAUCUGUUUAUCCAUUAAUUGCAGUCUCUCUUUUACCUCCGUGUACUAUCUGCUGUAGCUGUCACUCUGAAUUCAUCUUUUUCACACCCUCUCAACACGAUAUUCACCAUGACUGAUAUGAUAAUGUGCUAUAAAUACUUAAGCAAAUUCUUUAACAAGGCAAUUUGUGAUUCUAUUUACAGAUUUCAAUUACAUUUUUUUUAUUAAUUGCAGAACCACAUGAGAAAGUGGUAUUAAUGAUUUUACAAUAUAAUUCCCUUUUUUGUACAUGUUAAUUUUUUGGGACGGACUAAUUUGAAUUGAUUUUGUUGAUCCCCUCCCCGUUCUCUAUAAAACUCAUGUUUGUGCAAGCUUGUAUUCAUCACGUUAUCACACAAUGUGUAGAGAUAAUGGACUGCUGCUUGGAAUGAUGUGAUCUGUGACGCAAUAUCGGUUCGUCUGCCAAAAAAUAUAUAUUCACUUAAAAUCAAAAGUAAAGUAUUGAGUUUUCACCCAUUGUUAUGAGGAUUGUGUGCUUCAAUGGUUUUCCACAAUGUGUAAUAAAAAGGGGGGGGGGGCAAAAUGCUAAAUCAACCAUACCAAUACAUGUUAGUCUUGAAUCUAGUUUCAGGAGCGCAAUGUCAAAUUGUCAGUUGCUUUUCAAGGAAUUAUACAGGAGUGUUGCUUAUUCAGUGUUUUGUAUCUCCCGUCAUCGAUAUUUGUUAUGGGCCUUUUGCUUGGAUGUCUAAUUUCAUAAAUGGAGCAGUGUAGCUAAGACGGCUUUACGACUCGGAGGCAUUGAUCAAGACUGAUUAAGGACUGGUUGCACUUUGAAUAUACCCAGGCCUAAUUAACCACUUGUGUCUGCACAAAGAAGGGCAGAAAGGAAAUGUUGAUGAGUGCUUGAAAAGAGCAUACCAGAAUUCUGGAAAUAUGUUUCAACCGCAUGUGAAAUAUUUGUAUCUGGUGUCUGGUAAUGUUUUGAAAUUCCCCAAGUACUGACUGAAGGAAUGGAGUUUUUCCAGUUCAUAUUUCAUAUAUUUUCUAUUGGACAUUCAAAUGGUAAUUUGAUUGUUUUACUGAUUUCUGGUGCCAUUGCAGGUGGUAUGAAUAAUAAUUGAGAGACAUGAUGGUUCUCUGAUAUCUCAUGCCAUCUAAACUUUUGUCUUUUGGAAUUGACUUCUUUGGUAUUCUUCUUGUACGAGUGUGUUGGCCCAUUUGUUGUGUCAUUAGACAAAUUAUUGGUAAAUCUAGAUCUAGUUGAUCAUUUCUAGUCUCAUCCCCAACUUUGACAUCACAUUGAAACAAUCAAGUAUGACAUCUGUAUCCCUUCAUCUAAAAAUCUUUCAUUGGAACUUGCAUGUCUUUCACCUCAGGGAAGGUGGAGUUUCUUAACCAGGUCCCGGGGCUUGACUUGAGGUGGUGUUUGGCUAUUCUUUUGUAUUUUGGUUUGUGGAUAGGACAGUGAUCUACCUGAUAGUCAGCCUUCUGAAUUCUCCAAUUUGUGUUUUUUCCACGUGUUUUUCACUCAUUGAAUCGUCUGAUACUUUUUUCUCAGAACAUUUAAUGUCAUAUCCUGUGUCAACGAGAAUUUGGAUUUUUUCACUUGGUUAGAGUGGUUGCUUUAUUCUGGAAGGCAUUUGAUGUAACUUGGCAUAUCUUAUUUUGGUGAUCAAGAUGUCUUCAAAUUUCCAUAAGUUCUCUUCUGGGCUUAGAUCACUUAUUUCAUCCAAACUGGCACUGUUUUAUGGAGAAACCUAAACAAUUUGGUUCAAUUUUAGGGAUUCAUCCACUGAAUAAAUGAUGGUGACAUUUCCUGCGAGAAGAAGCCAGAGUGGGAGGUUUCUCUGAGCGUCAAGAGUAUCCUCACAUAGAUUGAAAGUGUGGCAUGGUUAUUCUAGCCUAUUGUUAACCCAGGUUUUAAGUUUCUUUUUGUAGAUAAGGAGUGUAAUUUGAUGACCUCUCCUGGCCGAUUGUUCCAACUGUCUUUGUCCCUUUUGCAGAAGAUAUUGUUUCUUUACAUCCAUUCAGAACCAGUCUUGGAAAUUUUACAGGGUGCUGUCUCUGAAAGUUGGUAUUGCUUCUCAAUGACCCUUUUGCCGAAGAAGUUGUUUCCUACAUCCCAGUGUGAAAGGAAUUUCAGACUUUUUAUUGUGUCAUUUCUGAAAUGUGACAUUGCUUUUUAUUGACCCUUUGGCUGAAGGAGUAAUUUCCUACAUUGGAAAGAAUUUAGACAUUUUAUUAGGUGGCGUCUCUGAAAUUUGACAUUGUGCUUCACAACUAGAAUACAUGCAUUGUUUUGUUAUGAUUGAUAGGCCAUUAUUAAACCAUUGUGGGAUUAUGAAGUGCACAUGCUCUGGACGAGCCUAUGUUGAGGAUUUAACCCAUUAGGUCUAGAUUCACAAGUCAUGUCUUUCCAACUGCCCCUUGCCUUAUCUCUCAGAGUUAUGUGAAAGACGUGAUGAAUACUGUAUGCAAGCACAAACAUUAGGUGUCCCCUUGACAAAAACAAACCAAAAAAUCAAAUUGUUUUCCCUUUUUUUUUUUUCACCAAAAUGCAGUGUUCAUUGAAGUUCAUAGGAACACAAUUGCAUCAUGUACAGAAAAGUGUGUAUUUAUUUGUAAAAUUGUAAAUCUUCCAUUUGCUCAAUUGAAAAGAGCCCCCCCCCCCAAAAAAAAAAAAAAUAUAUAUAUAUAGAUUAAAUUUUUUUUUUUUAUAUAUAAUUAGAAAUAAUAAUGAAUGAAUAAAAAAAUUAAUGAAACUGAGAUAAAAUAAAGAAAGAUGGGGAAAAAAUAUAAACAAAUUGAAAUAUAAUGAUAUUUGUAAAUGAAAAAAAAAUACACAAAGGAUUGUGACAAUGAUUAAUCAUAAUACUCAAAUAUUCAUCUUCUUAUAUACAUGUAUGAAAUAUAAUUAUGAUAAAUUAUUUAGAACAUAUCAGUCAUGGAGAAUAAAUGUUGAAAGGAUGUGAAAUAAAGAAAGAUUGACAGUAUAUGGAGAGCAUUUCAUGAAGAGUUUUAUCAGUGAUUAUCAGUAAUUUGCUCUCAGCCAAUCAGAUGCAUUGAUUUACAGUAGCUUAUAACAUCUGACUGUGAAAAUCACUGAUGUGAAUAUUCAUGAAAUGCUCCCCUUGAUGGAUAGUACAGGGAGGUAUGAAGAGAGAACACAAUUGGUGGAUUCACAGGUAAACUUGUAGAAAGAGGGGGAAUAGAGGGAAGGAGGGGGGGGGGGGGUAAUGAGCAGAUUAAAGGCAAUGAGGUAGUGGUUUUGUUCAAGGGUGAAUAGAGAGACUACAAAGGAGAUUAUAACACACUGAUUCAUUUGGUAAGGAAGAGAAAAGAUGGGGCAAAAUAUAGAUGACGUGGGUUAAGUCCCCCCCCAAAAAAAAAAUUGCUUGGAAAAUGAAUGCAUUGUCUUCCUUACCCUUAGCUAUGCAGGUUAUCAUUGAACUUGAAAAUAAAGCACCUACAUUAGAGAUGGGGUAUAUCAUGCAUGACAGUGUCCAGUGCCCCACCCUGCACACUUGAAAAUGAGACUCUGGGUAGUGGCAUCAUGUAUUGUGUGAUUCUGGCAGGAAGACCCCCAGUUCGGAUCAGGCGGCCGGCCAUUUUGUGAUGUUUGGGGUUUGCUCCAUUGAAUUGAGAGGUCAGCUGCUAUGGCAACCUCCUUACUUGAAUGAAUCUUCUUGGCUGCUGGUCAUUUUUUUUAAA